GGCGGCGAUGAAGGCGAAGUCCGGCGAUUGAGCCCGUUAUUCUCCCUGCUAGGGAAAGUGAAUUACAUGGGAGAAAGUGGGAAAGGGCAAUUUGCGAAGCUGGCGAAUCAGAUCACCAUAGCUUCGACAAUGGUGGGACUGGUGGAAGGUAUGAUUUACGCUCACAAAGCAGGGCUUGACGUGGGUUUGUUCUUGAACGCCAUAUCAACAGGAGCAGCAGGAUCAAAAUCG
rnacentral:misc_RNA from 1 species